rnacentral:rRNA from 1 species
CAGUCGCCACGGGAAUACGAAGGGUGCAAGCGUUACUCGGAAUUACUGGGCGUAAAGCGUGUGUAGGUGGUUGUUUAAGUCUGUCGUGAAAGCCCUGGGCUCAACCUGGGAAUUGCGAUGGAUACUGGGCGACUAGAGUGCGGUAGAGGAUAGUGGAAUUUCCGGUGUAGCAGUGAAAUGCGUAGAGAUCGGAAGGAACAUCUGUGGCGAAGGCGACUAUCUGGGCCAACACUGACACUGAGGCACGAAAGCGUGGGGAGCAAACAGGAUUAGAUACCCGAGUAGUCCCUGUCUCUUAUAC